rnacentral:rRNA from 1 species
CAGUCGAACGGGGCGGCGGGGAGGAAUCCCUUCGGGGAGGAGACCCCGCGGCCUAGUGGCGGACGGGUGAGUAACGCGUGGGCAACCUGCCCCAUACCGGGGGAUAACAGCCGGAAACGGCUGCUAACACCGCAUAAGCGCUGGGGGCCGCAUGGCUCCCAGCGGAAAACUCCGGUGGUAUGGGAUGGGCCCGCGUCUGAUUAGGCAGUUGGCGGGGCAGCGGCCCACCAAACCGACGAUCAGUAGCCGGCCUGAGAGGGCGGCCGGCCACAUUGGGACUGAGACACGGCCCAGACUCCUGCGGGAGGCAGCAGUGGGGAAUAUUGCACAAUGGGGGGAACCCUGAUGCAGCGACGCCGCGUGGGCGAGGAAGUAUUUCGGUAUGUAAAGCCCUAUCGGCAGGGAAGAAGAAAUGACGGUACCUGAAUAAGAA